GAUGAGAACGUAGCGAAAUGCGAUAAGUAAUGUGAAUUGCAGAAUUCAGUGAAUCAUCGAAUCUUUGAACGCACAUUGCGCCCGCUAGUAUUCUGGCGGGCAUGCCUGUUCGAGCGUCAUUUCAACCAUCAAGCCCUUUAGCUUGUGUUGGGGACCUGCGGCUGCCGCAGCCCCCGAAAUGCAGUGGCGGGCUCGUUGUCACACCGAGUGCAGUAAUCAUUCUUCUCUCCGGGCGUGGCGGCGGGUUCCGGCCGUAAAAUCACCAAUUUAUCAAGGUUGACCUCGGAUCAGGUAGGAAUACCCGCUGAACUUAAGCAUAUCAAUAAGCGGAGGA
rnacentral:misc_RNA from 1 species